CGGGGCGUAGCGCAGGUUGGUUAGCGCACCAGCAUGGGGGGCUGGGGGUCGGUGGUUCGAGUCCACUCGCCCCGACCA
rnacentral:tRNA from 1 species